rnacentral:rRNA from 1 species
GACGAACGCUGGCGGCGUGCCUAAUACAUGCAAGUAGGACGAAGUCGCGAACGGGUGAGUAACGCGUAGGUAACUACCAAUGAGAGGGGGAUAAGUAAUGGAAACGAUAGCCAAUACCGCCUUCUAGUAGGUGGCAUUGCGUUGUAUUAGCUAGUCGGUAGGGUAAUGGCCUACCUAGGCAAGGAUACCUAGCCGUCCUGAGAGGGUGAGCGGCCACACGGGGACUGAGACACGGCCCAGACUCCUACGGGAGGCAGCAGUAGGGAUUCUUCCGCAAUGGACGGAAGCCUGACCGAGCAACUCCGCGUGAGUGAGGACGGUUUUCGGGUCGUAAGGCUCUGUUAUUAUGGACGCGGUACUUAACCAGAAAGGGACGGCUAACUACGUGCCAGCAGCCGCGGUAAUUC